GAUGAACGCUGGCGGCGUGCUUAACACAUGCAAGUCGAACGGAAAGGCCCAAGCUUGCUUGGGUACUCGAGUGGCGAACGGGUGAGUAACACGUGGGUGAUCUGCCCUGCACUUCGGGAUAAGCCUGGGAAACUGGGUCUAAUACCGGAUAGGACCACAUUUUGGAUGGUGUGGUGGAAAGUUUUUCGGUGUGGGAUGAGCUCGCGGCCUAUCAGCUUGUUGGUGGGGUAAUGGCCUACCAAGGCGUCGACGGGUAGCCGGCCUGAGAGGGUGUACGGCCACAUUGGGACUGAGAGACGGCCCAGACUCCUACGGGAGGCAGCAGGGGGGAAUAUUGCACAAUGGGCGCAAGCCGGAUGCAGCGACGCCGCGGGGGGGAGGACGGCCUUCGGGUUGGAAACUCCUUUCGCUAGGGACGAAGCGUUAUGUGACGGUACCUGGAGAAGAAGCACCGGCUAACUACGUG
rnacentral:rRNA from 1 species